rnacentral:rRNA from 1 species
UGAGUACGAGACGCUAAGGCGUUGAGGCAGUCUAUGUCAGACUUCCAAGAAAAGCUCGCAAUGUCAUGAACAAAAAAUGCCUGUACCAUAACCGACACAGGUGGGUAGGUAGAGUAUACUAAGGGGCGCGGGAUAACUCUCUCUAAGGAACUCGGCAAAAUGACUCCGUAACUUCGGGAGAAGGAGUGCCUUAUUUUUAUAAGGUUGCAAUAACAAGAUCCAAGCAACUGUUUACCAAAAACACAGGUCUCCGCUAAGUCGUAAGACGAUGUAUGGGGGCUGACGCCUGCCCAGUGCCAGAAGGUUAAAGAAGUUGGUUAGUUUCGGCGAAGCUGAUGACUGAAGCCCUGGUGAACGGCGGCCGUAACAAUAACGGUCCUAAGGUAGCGAAAUUCCUUGUCGGGUAAGUUCCGACCCGCACGAAAGGCGUAAUGAUUUGGAUACUGUCUCGGAGAGGGGCUCGGUGAAAUAGACUUGUCUGUGAAGAUGCGGACUACCUGCACCUGGACAGAAAGGCCCUAUGAAGCUUUACUGUAACUUGAGAUUGAAAUUGGACUUUAUUUGCGCAGUAUAGGUGGGAGACGUUGAGAAUAUUCUUGCGGGAAUAUUGGAGUCAUCGGUGAGAUACCACUCUUGUAAUGUUAGAUUUCUAACUUUGUAUCAUUAUCUGGUCAAAGGACAGUUUCAGGCGGGCAGUUUGACUGGGGCGGUCGCCUCCCAAACGGUAACGGAGGCGCACAAAGGUUUCCUCUGAACGUGUAGAAAUCGUAUCUAGAGUGUAAAGGCAUAAGGAAGCUUGACUGUGAGACCUACAAGUCGAGCAGGGACGAAAGUCGGUCUUAGUGAUCUGACGGUGCUGAGUGGAAAGGCCGUCACUCAACGGAUAAAAGUUACUCUAGGAUAACAGGCUGAUCUCCCCCAAGAGUUCACAUCGACGGGGAGGUUUGGCACCUCGAUGUCGGCUCAUCGCACCCUGGGGCGGUAGUACGUCCCAAGGGUUGGGCUGUUCGCCCAUGAAAGCGGUACGCGAGCUGGGUUCAGAACGUCGUGAGACAGUUCGGUCCAUAUCCGGUGUAGGCGUUAGAAUAUUGAGAGGAGCCUUCUUUAGUACGAGAGGACCGAGAAGGACAUACCUCUGGUGUACCAGUUAUCGUGCCAACGGUAAACGCUGGGUAGCUAUGUAUGGAGUGGAUAACCGCUGAAAGCAUCUAAGUGGGAAGCCCACCUCAAGAUAAG